rnacentral:rRNA from 1 species
GAUGAACGCUAGCGACAGGCUUAACACAUGCAAGUCGAGGGGCAGCGGGGCGGCAGGCUUGCCUGCCGUUGCCGGCGACCGGCGCACGGGUGAGUAACACGUAUGCAACCUGCCCGUGGCAGGGGGAUAAGCGGGGGAAACCCCGUCUAAUACCGCGUAACGCGGCCUAGGGACAUCCCAAGGCCGCCAAAGGGAGCAAUCCCGGCCACGGAUGGGCAUGCGGCGCAGUAGCUAGGCGGCGGGGUAACGGCCCACCGAGGCGACGAUGCGUAGGGGUUCUGAGAGGAAGACCCCCCACACUGGUACUGAGACACGGACCAG